GUGUGGUAAAUACAAACAAAAGGGGAAAUAAGUGGUUUUGGGUUCAGAGGCAAUGUCAUUAUUCUUUUCACUGUGUUUGUUCAUUUUACUUCUUUUCUUUUUCAAUUACUUAGUUUUUUUGAUCUUUUUUUUUUCAACUGAGUUCUCUUCCUUCGGUGAGUGCUUCUUUUGAACCAUCGACUACAUUUUAUUUUCUCAUUUUUCGAUGGUCGUUU
rnacentral:lncRNA from 1 species